GGCGGCUCGAGUGGUGGCCACUAUUACUGGGCUUAAAGCGUUCGUAGCUGGUUUGUUAAGUCUCUGGGGAAAUCUUCCGGCUUAACCGGAAGGCAUCUCAGGGAUACUGGCAGACUAGGGACCGGAAGAGGUGAGGGGUACUCCAGGGGUAGGAGUGAAAUCCUGUAAUCCUUGGGGGACCACCUGUGGCGAAGGCGCCUCACCAGGACGGCUCCGACAGUGAGGGACGAAAGCUGGGGGAGCAAACC
rnacentral:rRNA from 1 species